rnacentral:rRNA from 1 species
CGCGUGCCUAAUACAUGCAAGUUCGAGCCGGUACUUGAUGGAGUGCUUGCACUCCUGAUGGUUAGCGGCGGACGGGUGAGUAACACGUAGGCAACCUGCCCUCAAGACUGGGAUAACUACCGGAAACGGUAGCUAAUACCGGAUAAUUUAUUUCACAGCAUUGUGGAAUAAUGAAAGACGGAGCAAUCUGUCACUUGGGGAUGGGCCUGCGGCGCAUUAGCUAGUUGGUGGGGUAANGGCUCACCAAGGCGACGAUGCGUAGCCGACCUGAGAGGGUGAACGGCCACACUGGGACUGAGACACGGCCCAGACUCCUACGGGAGGCAGCAGUAGGGAAUCUUCCGCAAUGGGCGAAAGCCUGACGGAGCAACGCCGCGUGAGUGAUGAAGGUUUUCGGAUCGUAAAGCUCUGUUGCCAAGGAAGAACGUCUUCUAGAGUAACUGCUAGGAGAGUGACGGUACUUGAGAAGAAAGCCCCGGCUAACUACGUGCCAGCAGCCGCGGUAAUACGUAGGGGGCAAGCGUUGUCCGGAAUUAUUGGGCGUAAAGCGCGCGCAGGCGGUUCUUUAAGUCUGGUGUUUAAACCCGAGGCUCAACUUCGGGUCGCACUGGAAACUGGGGGACUUGAGUG